GACGAACCGUGCGAACGUUAUUCGGAAUCACUGGGCUUAAAGCGCGUGUAGGCGGCCCGGCACGUCCGUCGCUGAAAUCCCCCGGCUCAACCGGGGAAGUGGCGGGGAUACGACCGGGCUGGAGGGGGGUAGGGGGAGCCGGAACUUCCGGUGGAGCGGUGAAAUGCGUUGAGAUCGGAAGGAACGCCCGUGGCGAAAGCGGGCUCCUGGACCCCACCUGACGCUGAGACGCGAAAGCCAGGGAGCGAACGGG
rnacentral:rRNA from 1 species